GACGAACGCUGGCGGCGUGCCUAAUACAUGCAAGUUGAGCGCUGAAGGUUGGUACUUGUACCAACUGGAUGAGCAGCGAACGGGUGAGUAACGCGUGGGGAAUCUGCCUUUGAGCGGGGGACAACAUUUGGAAACGAAUGCUAAUACCGCAUAAAAACUUUAAACACAAGGUUUAAGUUUGAAAGAUGCAAUUGCAUCACUCAAAGAUGAUCCCGCGUUGUAUUAGCUAGUUGGUGAGGUAAAGGCUCACCAAGGCGAUGAUACAUAGCCGACCUGAGAGGGUGGUCGGCCACAUUGGGACUGGGACACGGCCCAAACUCCUUCGGGAGGCAGCAGUAGGGAAUCUUCGGCAAUGGACGGAAGUCUGACCGCGCAACGCCGCGUGAGUGAAGAAGGUUUUCGGAUCGUAAAACUCUGUUGGUAGAGAAGAACGUUGGUGAGAGUGGAAAGCUCAUCAAGUGACGGUAACUACCCAGAAAGGGACGGCUAACUACGUG
rnacentral:rRNA from 1 species